rnacentral:piRNA from 1 species
GGGAUCAUUUGUUUGAAAAAUCUUUUCCUA